UCGGGUGACAAACGGUCCUGGUUUGCCUGGGACUGAGGGGUUUCCUAGGAUGUGGGAAUUUUGGUGCUAAAAGUAGGAUAGUCCUAGGCAGGCCACAACUGUUGGUCACCCUAACAUAAA
rnacentral:pre_miRNA from 1 species